AUUGAACUUUCCAAAUUGAAAUAAAGUUUUUGAUUAAAAAACAUUCACAUAAAAAAUUAAUCGGUUUCUUAAUUUAAUUGCAUGAAAUUGUGAAGCAAUGAUUCAAAUCUUCAGAUUGGAUUAAAACAUCCAAUUCAUACGGAUGAAUGUAAUCCUAUAACUUUAAAUCAUCCCAAAACCCUGGGCAUAACAAAGAACGUCAAAAUAGACCCCAAAUUAAAACGAAAUUGAAUAAAAAUGAAAAAGAAAAUUUAUAAAAUAGCAAUCGUAAAACAUGGUACCUCAUACCUUAAACCACACCAAAAUCACACGAGAAAGGAUUGUUGGCCAGUCAAGAAAAUUUUCACAGACUAAACAGAUUUCUUGACCUUUAUAGGAGGCAACCCCCAAAAGGAAAAGUUCAAUCAAAGAAUUAAUCAGAAAACAUUACUAAAAUCAUGAAAAAAAAAAAUAAAAAAUAAAA
rnacentral:lncRNA from 1 species